rnacentral:lncRNA from 13 species
AUUUGUAGUAGUAUGUUCUUCUGUUUUUUUAGUAGAUUUUGCUCUCAGUCUACAGUCAUCUGCUUUAUGCCAUCUAGAAUAUCCUCACUCUCUUAGUUUGCUGGUGAUUAUUGUGUAUUUCUCAUGCCUUUGAAUUGAAAAUAUAUUUAUUGUGUAAUUUCCUAUGGAUUUAAGGAGGGGAAUAUAUUUUUCUGGAAUUCUCUUUCUUUCUGAUAUGCUUUCUCCCUUUUUCUUUAUCAUCAAUGACUUACUCUACCUGCCAUUUAUCUUCACCUAUGAUUUAGAAGGAAAUUAUAACAUCGACCUGAUAGGAUUGCCAAGAAGAUUAACUGACAUAUUAUAUGCAAAGCACUUAGAACAAUGCCUGGCACAUGGGUGUAGCACUGUAAAUGUUUGUCGGAAACAACACUAUCAGGAAAUAUGAUUAUCCUGGAAUAUAUUUGAAGACAGUUCAGCCAAAAUAUAUCCAAAACAGUUUAAGGUGAAACAAUCGCAGCAAUAUAUCUCAAGAAAUGAUUUUUAGUUGUAUACAGGCUCUUUUUCCUUACAGUUAAAUGUGUCUGUAGAAAAGAAAUAACCUAAAUGUCUUCAAAUUUUUGAAUAUUUGCUUCACUCAUAAAAUGCUUAAUACUAGUUGGUAUACUUGUUUAUAUAAUAAACUUUCAUUAGAAUGUUCUGCA